UUCUGUCGAAACAACCGGUCCGCUCUAUGAGCGUGUAUCUGGUCUGGUUUUGGCAUCCUCGUGGGGAACAGCUCUGUGCUUGAUUGCAUGGACUGGUAUUCACGACUUUUACUUUGAGGAAAUUAGAGUGUUCACGGCAGGCAAGCGCCUUGAAUACAUUAGCAUGGAAUAAUAAUAUAGGACUUUGGUUUUAUUUUGUUGGUUUCUAGGACUAAAGUAAUGAUUAAUAGGGAUAAUUGGGGGCAUUUGUAUUAACGCGUCAGAGGUGGAAUUCUUGGAUUGCGUUACGACAAACUGCUGCGAAAGCAUUUGCCAAGGAUGUUUUCAUUGAUCAAGAACGAAAGUAUGGGGAUCGAAGAUGAUUANAUACCGUCGUAGUCUAUACCAUAAACUAUGCCGACUANAGAUUGGAGGUCGUUCUUUUUAUGACUCCUUCANCACCUUAUGAGAAAUCAAAGUCUUUGGGUUCCGGGGGGAGUAUGGUCGCAAGGCUGAAACUUAAAGGAAUUGACGGAAGGACACCACCAGAAGUGGAACUUGCNGCUUAAUUUGACUCAACACGGGNAAAACUUACCAGGUCCANACAUAGUAAGGAUUGACAGA
rnacentral:rRNA from 1 species